CCAGUUUAUAUACUCUCAUCAGUUGUUUAAUAUUAUCCACUUACUAUGAAUGCUGUAGCUCUAUCUCAGCUGUGCCUUGAGGUGUUAAAGAAAGAGCUCCUAGGGCCAGUUUGGUGGCAACAAUAGCCAAUUAGUGUGAGAUUAUCCAAAGGAUACAGAAUCCCAGGGAGCAAGAAUGGGGGCCGUGAGGUCCAGCUGCUUCACUCUAUGUAGGUUCUUUUAUGGCCUCUCUUGAAGGAUUUGAAACUGAUUGCUUGAUUUUAUGAAAGAACACAUUAUUUCCCUCCAAAUGAUGGUGGUGGAGAUGAGUGCAUGGUCAUGAUGAUACCAAUGUGUGGUCAUGACAGUGUGAUAUUGAUGAGGGUAUGGACAAUGGUAGUAACAGGUUAACAGUGGUUCUGACGGUGAGUGCAGUGCCAAUGAUGGAGAUGGUGGUGGUGCUGCUGUUGACAAUAGGAUGGCAGUUAUGGUGGUGGUAGUGGUGACAAUGUUGGUGGUGAUGACUUAUGAUGGUGGUAAGAAUGGUGAUGGUAACUGUGGUGGUAAUAGUGAGUUCAGCACUGAUAAGGGAGAUGGUGGUGGUGGUACUGACAGUAGGGUGGUAGGAAUGGUGGUUGUGGUCACAGCCAUGUUGCGAUGGUGGUUAAGAAGGUGGUGAGAAUGGUGUUGACAGUUGGUGAUGGUAGAAAUGGUGGUGUGGCAUUGACUGUGGGAUGGUGGUGACAAUGGUGAGAAGAUGUGACAGUGGUGAGGGGCAGCGUGAUAGAAGGGGGAUGGUGGUGGUUCACGAUAGUGGUGAGUGGAGUUGGUGCUGAUGGGAAGCCUGGUGCUGAUGGUAGUGCUGGGGUGUUGUGGAAAUAGAAAGGUGAAAGUACAUAGAUGAUGGCGAAGGAAUGCAAUACAGGAUUAAAAUAGAUACAAAGGGAGAGAGAGGUUGUCUUAGGAAUGUGAAUAAAGGAAGCAGCAUAUUCUAGACCUAGAACAGCGAGGAGACCCACUGGCCAGAGGGGAUGGUGGGGGAGACGUGCAGCAGGAAUGGGUGCUGGGAAGAGUCCUAGAAGUAGUGAGAAGAAUGUGGACUCCAGGAGGGCAGCACGGGGAGGCAUUCUGGGUCCUGGGAGGGAUAUGUCAGAGCCAAUUGGCCUGCUAGAGAAGAAAUGAUGAGGAUUUGAUUUCUUCUCUAGCAGGAUGAGGAGCUGGCUGUUGGCCCUCAUGCUGGCCUCAAAUGGAGGCAGAAAGUAGGCUAGGCCCUCUCCAGUGCAGGCAAGUGUCCCAGGCAUGCUGGCAGCAUGGAGGAAGCGGGUGUGAAGGGCCUUCAGUAGCUGAGCCAACCUUAGAAUGCAUGGGCAUGGGGAGAGGUAAAAUACCCUGUGCUCUUGUACCAGCUGUACCUGGCAGCUCCUACUCUAACCUUUGCUUGAGAGGGAGAAGGGUCUGAAGCAGGGACCCAGAGCUCCAGCUCCCUUCUCUCCCCCGGCUCCCUGCCUCUCAACAGCUCCCUGAAUCUCCAGUAGGCAGUUUUUGUUCAGUAGAAUUGCCUGGAUUCAGAGCCCCUUCCCCGCCUUUCCAGGUAUAGCAUGAAGCUGUUUGGUGUGUAUACAAAGCUGCAGGAUUCACUCUUCCGGGGCACAGAUGCCUGAGAAACUUCAGAGAGGCAGAAGGCGUUUGUCUGAGCAGCCAUCAUCUGGGCAUCAAGGGGUUAACCCAUCCCUGAGGGCUGGGCCAGGUCUUUUCCUCGGACUGGGCCCCGCCCUCCGGUUCCUCCAUAGAAGCCACUGGAGUCAACUAGGAGCUCACUUUGUGGGAGGGAGAAUCGUUUUUUUCUCUUAUUUGAAUGGUGCUGGUGACCUCACAAGGUUUCCAUGGUGACAAGACCAAAGGAGCCAGGGGGACUUGGUGAAUUAGGCCAAACAAACCCACCUCCAAGAGUCUUCUUCCAGACUCCAGCCUUGAGGAUGAGGACUCCAGGGAUGUCUGUGUGGUCACAGAGUACCUGUGGGAGGGCAAUUCUGACCCCAAGGUAGGAAGCAGUGAUCCGGUAAUUCCAGGCACCAAGGCAGAUAAAAAGACCAAGCCACAGCCUCCUCAAGAAGUUUGAAGUUUGCAUUGAACUCAUUAAUUUCCAGCUUUUGGCCGGGCGUGGUGGCUCAUGACUAUAAUUCCAGCACUUUAGGAGGCCAAG